ACUAAUUUGGCAGAUAAUUGCAUCAGAUUUAAAUCCUGAAUAUAAAAUAUUAAUUUUAUUUAGUA
rnacentral:tRNA from 1 species